UACGUAGGGGGCGAGCGUUGUCCGGAGUUACUGGGCGUAAAGGGCGUGCAGGCGGUGCAGCAAGUUUGGAGUGACAGUCCCCGGCUUAACUGGGGAAGGCCUCUGAAAACUGCUGGACUUGAGGGCCAGAGAGGGACAUAGAAUUCCGGGUGGAGUGGUGAAAUGCGUAGAUAUCCGGAGGAAUACCAAAGGCGAAGGCAGUGUCCUGGCUGGCAUCUGACGCUGAGGCGCGAAAGCGUGGGGAGCGAACAGG
rnacentral:rRNA from 1 species